rnacentral:rRNA from 1 species
UAUGGUCUACAUGCUUAAACGGCUUGGCUUGAGCAUGUCAUUUAUCAUAGGUCUUUCUAUCGUCAGCCAGAUGAUGAACUUUUUGUUCCUCAAAUUAUGGGGCAGGUAUACUGACCGAUUCAGCAAUAAAUCCGUUCUUGCCAUAUGCGGACCACUAUUCAUCACAUCGAUACUUGCCUGGACAUUUACCACAAUGCCUGAAAAGUAUUUUUUAACAAUUCCUUUGCUUAUUAUUAUUCAUAUUGUAAUGGGUGUAUCUUCGGCUGGGGUAUCUCUUGCUUCAGGAAAUAUCAGCUUGAAACUUGCUCCAAAGGGGCAGGCGACGGUCUACCUUGCAGCCAAUACUAUUGCAAAUUCAGUAGCAGCCGGCAUAGCUCCUAUCAUUGGAGGUAAAUUUGCAGAUUUCUUUUCAGGAAGACAAUUGGCCUGGACCCUUAAAUAUACAAGCCCCUCAGGUGAGUUUGAUAUGCUUACGUUGAAUCUUCAGCAGUGGGAUUUCUUCUUUGUACUGGCCUUUAUAAUCGG